CCUCAAAACCUUGUAGUAUCUAACAUGGUUCUUGAUGUAUAAAUGGAUAUAUAUGUUCAAUCUGAUUGACCCUUUGACAACAGAAAGAUUGUCCUUUGGACUGCCUAAUCAUUUCUCCAAGGGACAAUCUCCCCUUCUAUUGACAUCAUGAUCUUAGUGGAUGCAGUGGCAGAGCCAUAUGUAUUCAAGAGGUGUCUCGGAAAAUUAUUGAAAAGGAAACCAAGGUAAAAACUACAAAAAAUUAUUGAAUUAGUGUUAGAUGUUAUGAAUUUGGCAAAAACCUGUGGUACGUGGAAACGUUUGUGUUAUGUGGCUGGAAAAGUUUCUAUCACGUUUUCAGCUUGCUGGAUCAUUGCAGUUUACGUGUUAAAAGGAUCUAACGGGAAGAUCUUACAUCUUUCCAAGUUGCAGGGACAAAUAUGACGUACAUAGAAAAACGUCUUUUAGAGUAAGUAUGGGUGAAAUUCAAAAAUAGCCAGAUUCACAAGUA